AACGAACGCUGGCGGCAGGCCUAACACAUGCAAGUCGAGCGAAGCCUUCGGGCUUAGCGGCGGACGGGUGAGUAACGCGUGGGAACGUGCCCUUUGCUACGGAGUAGCCCCGGGAAACUGGGAGUAAUACCGUAUGUGCCCUUCGGGGGAAAGAUUUAUAGGCAAAGGAUCGGCCCGCGUUGGAUUAGGUAGUUGGUGGGGUAAUGGCCUACCAAGCCGACGAUCCAUAGCUGGUUUGAGAGGAUGAUCAGCCACACUGGGACUGAGACACGGCCCAGACUCCUACGGGAGGCAGCAGUGGGGAAUCUUAGACAAUGGGGGAAACCCUGAUCUAGCCAUGCCGCGUGAUCGAUGAAGGCCUUAGGGUUGUAAAGAUCUUUCAGUGGGGAAGAUAAUGACUGUACCCACAGAAGAAGCCCCGGCUAACUCCGUGCCAGCAGCCGCCGUAAGAC
rnacentral:rRNA from 1 species